AGUAGGUCCCAAGGGUAUGGCUGUUCGCCAUUUAAAGUGGUACGCGAGCUGGGUUUAGAACGUCGUGAGACAGUUCGGUCCCUAUCUGCCGUGGGCGCUGGAGAACUGAGGGGGGCUGCUCCUAGUAUGGCCAACCCCCUCGCGCUUUGAUGUGGCGAAUAUCACCACCCAGGGAUAUCACGACGAGGUGACCUUUCCGAUGAUCGUGCGCGGUACGCCGCCGGCGACCUUGAGCGGUGUGUUGACGUUAUCAA
rnacentral:rRNA from 1 species